rnacentral:hammerhead_ribozyme from 1 species
GCACUGCUGAUGAGUCCCAAACAGGACGAAACGGCUGUCGCGUGC